AGGAAGAGGCAUUUGAGGAAACAAUCAAGGUUUUGUCGAGUAAGGAGUGAAGCAAUAAUAACUUUCAUCAAUUAAAGGUUGACUCGUCAGUAACAUAGGGACAAUCUUAUUCAUUUUGAAAACUU